rnacentral:rRNA from 1 species
UACGGAGGGUGCGAGCGUUGUCCGGAAUCAUUGGGCGUAAAGGGCGCGUAGGUGGCCCGGUCAGUUCGUGGUGAAAGCGCGGGGCUCAACCCUGCGUCGGCCAUGAAUACUGCCGCGGCUGGAGCACUGUAGAGGCAGGCGGAAUUCCGGGUGUAGCGGUGGAAUGCGUAGAGAUCCGGAAGAACACCGGUGGCGAAGGCGGCCUGCUGGGCAGUUGCUGACACUGAGGCGCGACAGCGUGGGGAGCAAACGGG